CAGCCAUGUUUUACCCAUCUGGAGAGAGAGACAUUCUGGAUCCUUCUCUGUAAAGCCUUUGGGGUGCGUUUUGGUUUUGACCCGCUAGAACGACUGCUCGAGUACAACGGUCUUGUAUCAUCAAUACAAUGGUAGUGGAGAGUAAUGGUUUAGGAAAGGUAAUGUAGGUUAACAGGAUAGAAGAGAUUCAUCUCACGUAGGUUUGGAAGAUAUUCAAAAGUGUGUUCUGGAUGCGGAUCUGAUGGGUUACUGUGGUUUGAGACAUGCAGAAUAGAUGCUGUUGUCUUUAAGGCCCUUAUUGUGAAAAAUAUGGGUUAUUUUUCGUGAAGGAGACAGAAUUAAGCCAUAAACAUUCAAGGUGUGUAUAACUCUAUUCUAAGAUGGCCCCUGUGCAUGUUUCCACCUGUACGUAUAAAACAUACUUUCAGAUCCCCCACCCAUAGACUAGGUCACAGCAUUUAUGACAAUGGACUGUUUGGCUCUUGCUUUUGAAUGGAAAUGGAAAAAUUAUGUUACGAGCUGGUUGUCAGAAUGUCGUUACUAAAGCAGCAAUAUGUAUUGGCUUGGGUACAGAAGUCAUGUUUUAAAUGAUAUGAUGAUGGGAGAGGAAUCUCCAGUGAUGUCUCUACUUGUGGAUUGAUUUGGUUUGAAUCUUUAUUUUACCCUUUUGUGUUUUAUGAUGAAAGGGUGCGUUAGAUUAAAUCAAUGCUUAAUUGGAUAUUAUUAUAAUUCCUCAUACUCCCUCAGGUGUUGUGAACUGACAGCCAGUACUGAGGUAGAAAUGAAGGAUUUAUAUGCAAGUUUGGUCCCAAUGUGGGCUUUUGUAAUGUUUCUAAAACAAAUUGUAGUGUUAAAAUGCUUAGCGAAAAUACUAAUCUGAAGAAAAAAAACUUGGCCUAUUGAAAACGUCAGUGUUUUUUUAUAUAAAACCUUUUAAAAAAGCUUGUAAUUACUUCAUAUUUUGGAGAGGGUUAAAAUACUGUACAUGUGAACAUUUCUCUCUGUCAUUGAUUGGGAUGGGAGACGGGGGAUGGUUGGCCAUCAAAGCAGUUGGGAGGGAUGAAGAGGGGGUUAGAAUUUUGUAUGUUGGGAGAGAAUUAUGCUACAAUUAAACAUUUUUUCUCAAGUGUUUUUUAUUCCAAUGUGUCUGUAUCCUUUUAAUGUAUCUUGAUAAGAAAAUAAAUAAAGAUUUUUUUUCUUCGUGGUCGUAUA